UUAGUGGCGGACGGGUGAGUAACGCGUGGGCAACCUGCCUUACACAGGGGGAUAACACUUAGAAAUAGGUGCUAAAACCGCAUAAGCGCACAGCUUCGCAUGAAGCGGUGUGAAAAACUCCGGUGGUGUAAGAUGGACCCGCGUCUGAUUAGCUGGUUGGCGGGGUAACGGCCCACCAAGGCGACGAUCAGUAGCCGGCCUGAGAGGGUGAACGGCCACAUUGGGACUGAGACACGGCCCAAACUCCUACGGAAGGCAGCAG
rnacentral:rRNA from 1 species